AAUGAUGCAUAAUGGGCUAUUUCCCAUUUAGAAUUAGUGAUGUGUCAAUGUGCAUCUUGCUUUAAUGUUGCAGCAGAAAAAGUAGAUCUAAUCUCAAACCCGUUAAAAUGUUACCACUGAAAUAUAGUUGACCGUAGUAUUUCUUAUAUUUACUGAAGCAAUAAGGCUGAGUACUUCUCUCCUCUAAGGGAGUAACAGGUAUAAUAGGAAUCACUUUAAAUACAUUGGUGGUCCAACACUGCCCCCUACUGGCCCAGUCUUUACCUGCACGGUGCUAACGAAACGUUAGCAAACGUUAAUUAACGCGCUAACCGAGAAUUUGGCGUUUGUCUGUACUUCGUAGAGUGGAAAUACGAAGCAAGUUUUACAAAGCAGUGACGGUCAAACAGUUUGCGUUAGCUGCUAAUAUGUAGCCGCAAGCUCCAUUACAUUAACGUUAGCUAACUUAGCUAAAAUACACCGAAGCUAAUGGUUAGCGAGCUAGCAUUACAAGCAUUACCUGCGAUAGGCGGAAGUCAGUUGGAACAGCAACAGUUUCAUUAAAUAUUUAAUAUCUAGGAUACCGUCGUCAGAAGAGUUAUGGACGUCAAACUAUCUCCGGAGAAAGAGGGAGAAUUUGGGCUUAACUCCGAUUGGUCCAAAGUAAAGUAAGCUAAAGUUCAGCGAGUCACCACUAGAGGGCGCCAUUUGCACAUCUAAUAUAAGAGUACGAUUUUAAAUAAGAUGAGUUAAAGACACAGAUAAAAGUAUAUAUCUUAUAAGGACAUGUUAAGUGUUAUAUACAUUCUAAUGAAACUACGUUAGAUCAUCUAACUGAGAGAUCCUUGUGUGAUGGCCUUCACUCUCCCGGCUUUCUGACCUGCAGGUCGCCUGUCCGCCCCCUUUCGUGUGUAACAGUCUGUGUUUGGUGCGGGUAAAGGAUUCGGGUAAGUGACGGAGGAGGUUAAGGACAAAUCCAGGGGAGGGUGGAUGUUGAUCUCAGUGAGCAGUCGUUGAGCUCUCGGUUGUCAUCUGUACUCCGUGCUGCCAAGCUGUGUCACGGUGUUCCUGUAGGCCGCCUCACCACUGUCCCGGGAGGCCCGGGACCCUCGGAGUCAGCGGAGGACUUGGACCCAAGCGUGGCAGCGGACGGGGCCAUUGGCGCAGAUUUGGGGAGAGGACAUAACCUUGUGGAGUUCACCCGUGUCUGUGGCGACGUGCCGGCCCGGGGGGCCGGCGGGGCACCCAGGCGCUGAACUAUGGACGCGUUGGAGGCCCGAGGUUAGCGGCGGCGUCCCCACAGCCGCGGUUGGUUCUGUAAGCCAGGAGGUGGUCUGUGAUUGGUUUGAGGAAGGAUGAUGAUGAAGAAUGGCGAGCUGACUGCUCAUGUGAACGACCAUUGAUGUAUGAGCCCCCGGGGUCCGAGUCUCUGUCGGUUUCUCUUUCGCUCAUACCUUAGCGGAGAGGCCCGAUUGCCACGGACACUCUAUAGAAUAAAUUGAGCAGGAUGAAUGACGUGGAAUAUUACUGAUGACAAGUCUGCUUGUCUCUCGGUGAGAUUACACCUGUGGUAAGUGGAAGGGCCCGAGGAGGAUGAGAGUCAUGCUGACAUCCUGUUGUGCUUAAAGGAGAAGUACUGAAUCUUUCAAACCGAUCACAAUACCGACGUGCUUUUAUGUAUAUUGAAUGAUUUAUUCGCGCUGUGGCGAGCCCGGGAUGCCAAUGCAAGAGACGAGAUCCACAUGUACAAAUGUACUGUGGAAUUUAGCCAACGCUAAAAUGAGGCUUUCAGGAUGUUUUCCCCCCCAUCUCUUAAAUUACUCUCACAUUUGUUUGCAAUGUGUAUUUUUGGUGAGCAUAGACAGCAGGAAUAACAACUAUGUACUACUGACUCUUUCAAAAUAUUUGCAGCCAUGUGGUUAUCUCAAUCAAUCUGUGAUCUGCAGUCAAUCUGUAAAAUAAUUCAGUAACUCAUCAUCCAUUUCCAGACAGUGUGAGCUUGUGAAGCUGUGUUUAUUCUUACAGUGCAUCUGUGCACGGCUGGACGGUCACUGCAGAAAGCAGCCGUGACGUAAAGUUGAAAAGCAUUUGUCAGCUCAACCCAAGGUCUGACAGCUAUCCAGCGUCCUCCAUGGACUCUCAUGCAAUUGAUUUUUCUUAAUCUGCAGGCUUGUUGUGUGGAUUUGGAGAUUAUAGUCAUUCAAAAUAAGACUUCUACCGUUUGAUGGAGUAGCAACAGGGGGCGGGGCUUACUGACGGGUUCAAAUCGCUGAACAUCCGACAACAGCUUUGCACCCCAGUGAGUCAAACACGCGCUAGACCGCCCUGCACUUUGCAUACUAGGAACACACUGAAGUGGACGAACCUCUACAUGCUCAGACGUGCUUACGUAAGGAUCCCCUCUUUUUGAUUCUUCAAGUGCAUUUAAGAGCAUCCAGCUUGAGGGGAUGUUGGUGAAUCCGUCCUUUGCUUCCUUAAUUACCCGGACAGGGAGACCACAGCUCGUCAGGAUGGAAAACCGUGUCCCUGGGACCCCGGAGGGGAACUGGUUUGGUUCCCCUUCUACUGAUGUUGUCCACAGUAGGCCUUAAGUACAACUCUGAAUCCAGAAGAUCACACAGGGUUCUGAACAAGGCCUUCGACACGCGCCCACUGAACACCUCCAAGAGGACACGGUGGUCUGAGGCCCCUCUUCAGCCAGUCAACGUUCGAGGAGGGGACAUUGAGGUGGUUGUAUGCUGCGGUCUGCUGGAGAGGAGGCUUGACAGACAAGGACACGGGGGGCCGGAUAAGCUGGUGAAAAGGGCUGGCUCGGUGCUUGGCAGGAGUCUGGACCCACUGGGGAUUGUGCUGGAAAUAUGCAUGUGGAAUAAGGUGGCGGCGUCCUAGACAAGGUCAGUCAUCCCCACUACAGCACCCCGGCAGGCCGGAGGAAGGGCGGAGGAAGGGCGGAGGAGGGGCGGAGGACAGCCGGAGGAAGCGGCGGCUGUGAUCGGUUCACGUGAUCGUUUUCUCUCCAUAUAGCCAGCAGGCUCUACAUCACUCCCCCCCCCCCCUGUACCCUAAUACUAAUUUAUUAGCACACUUGAUCUAUUUACAUAUUCAUAUACUUUUCUUCUUUAAGUCAUCUAAUCUGUAUUGAUAUGGAAAUUCGGACUGUUUGAGCUACUGGACACUGAAAUAUUCCACAAGGGCAUCAAUAAUCUGUCUCGGCCUUGAGACUGCAGAGGAGACCGCCCUCAAGCAUUAUUACCCAGACGCAGGGGGAUCUAUACGUUGAAUCUGUUCCGGCCGCGGAGCAGUGAACCGACAGCUUGUCCUCACACAGAUAACAGAGACGUCUGGAGAAUUCGAUAAUCCUUCGGAAAUGUGUUUUGUGGAUUCAGAAAAUGGCAUAACACCCCUUUUUUCCCCCUGAGGUUUCCUGUCUGAGAGCGAGAGGCGCCGGGGUCAGUGCUGUCGGCCUCUGAGGGGGAAAGCUGUGUUCACUCAUCCCACAUCAAGUCACCCCCUAAACCCGGGAGUCCCCCCGUGGGCCUUCUGAGGGAAGUUGGAGAUAGUUUCCGGGGGGAGUCCGUGCACGGGCGGAUUACGGGACAAUGUCCUCCUGGGCCCCGACGUGCAGAAGACCCCACCAGUGAGAGCGGGACACGCAGACUUCAUGGUGGUUUUGUCUCUUUGUGGUCAAUUUGGGGUUAUUUUGCCUUCAUAUGCAGUUUUUUUUGUCGUUGACCUCUAUUAAGUCAUUCUGAGCAUUGAGUGUCUUUGAAGUCAUUUUUUGUCCCUUAGUUUAAGAUUAGAUUAGAUUCAACGUACUAUGCACAGGAUAAAAUAUACAUGGAGCAGAAUGUAUGAAUAAAUAAACAAUAUAUACAGUAUUA